rnacentral:tRNA from 1 species
GAGGGUAUAGUUCAGUUGUAGAGUACAUGCCUAGCAUGCAUGAGGUCUUGGGUUCAAUCUCCAGUACCUCCG